ensembl:lncRNA
CGUUAUUAACAUUUAGCUACACAAAACAAUUUUGUGUUUUUUUUUAACAUGGACUCCCAUGAGGUCGCCAAAGUGAGGAAUAUUUUCCUUCUCUCCUCUGCAGGACAUUUUUGGCCUGUGAAACAUCUGGGGGGUGUCCAGCUGCUUCAGUGGUGGAGAAGUCUGAAGUUGCAGUUCAUAGACAGCAUGAGGAGAGCAAUGCACUGGAUUAGGUACCAUGUUGGAACAAGCAUGAAAUGAAUGUGCAAACACACAGCUUUUCUUACCAUGAAUAUGCAUGAAGCUCUGGAGCUGAAGAGCUCAGCUAAUUCAACAAAGUCAGCUUGGCAAUUCCAUUAAAUGUUCACAUUUUCCAUUUGUGAAGACAGAUCUGAGCUAAGAAAGAUAUUUAUAUCUGAAAUCUGUAGAAAACAAUUAUUCUAUUUUGUGACUAAGAAUGUCAAACUAAAGAACUUCACAAUACCUUUUCACUUUGUAAUUGUUUUUUUAUGAGUUCGGAAUGAAAUAUAUGACCCUAAUUUGGCACAUUGUUUGGUUCAUUUAAUUUGCAUCCACAAGCC